rnacentral:rRNA from 2 species
CUCCACCCGAGACUCAGUGAAAUUGAACUCGCUGUGAAGAUGCAGUGUACCCGCGGCAAGACGGAAAGACCCCGUGAACCUUUACUAUAGCUUGACACUGAACAUUGAGCCUUGAUGUGUAGGAUAGGUGGGAGGCUUUGAAGUGUGGACGCCAGUCUGCAUGGAGCCGACCUUGAAAUACCACCCUUUAAUGUUUGAUGUUCUAACGUGGACCCGUAAUCCGGGUUGCGGACAGUGUCUGGUGGGUAGUUUGACUGGGGCGGUCUCCUCCUAAAGAGUAACGGAGGAGCACGAAGGUUGGCUAAUCCUGGUCGGACAUCAGGAGGUUAGUGCAAUGGCAUAAGCCAGCUUGACUGCGAGCGUGACGGCGCGAGCAGGUGCGAAAGCAGGUCAUAGUGAUCCGGUGGUUCUGAAUGGAAGGGCCAUCGCUCAACGGAUAAAAGGUACUCCGGGGAUAACAGGCUGAUACCGCCCAAGAGUUCAUAUCGACGGCGGUGUUUGGCACCUCGAUGUCGGCUCAUCACAUCCUGGGGCUGAAGUAGGUCCCAAGGGUAUGGCUGUUCGCCAUUUAAAGUGGUACGCGAGCUGGGUUUAGAACGUCGUGAGACAGUUCGGUCCCUAUCUGCCGUGGGCGCUGGAGAACUGAGGGGGGCUGCUCCUAGUACGAGAGGACCGGAGUGGACGCAUCACUGGUGUUCGGGUUGUCAUGCCAAUGGCACUGCCCGGUAGCUAAAUGCGGAAGAGAUAAGUGCUGAAAGCAUCUAAGCACGAAACUUGCCCCGAG